AUGUCUGCUCUGGGGAGCCGGGCUUCGUCUGCCAAUGUGGCCGGCAAGAUUUCUUCAAGGAGAAGAAGGAGGUCCCGAAAGGGGAUGGGAGCAACAAGUCUGAAUCGAAGGGAUAAGGAAAAUUUGUUUAAUCUCGCGGCUGCGCUUGGCUGUGAUCGCCUUGUCCUCACCGGCAUCGCGGCCGCAUGCCACGUGGACUAUGACUCCGCUGCCAGCAGCGAUUGGUCCUUCGCGUGCCUCUACCUCGUCGUGGCCGAGUCCUCCUCUCCCCAAAUCGACAUCCACCCCUUUGUCAAGCCUGGACAUGAGCAGGAUGGUGUACACGAGCUUCACAGACAUGUGGCCGUGGAGGCUCCGGAUGAGGCCGACGCUGAUGACGACUCGAACAGUUCGUAG
rnacentral:rRNA from 1 species